GAUGAACGCUAGCGGCAGGCCUAAUACAUGCAAGUCAAGGGGGCAGCAAUGUCACCGGCGGACGGGUGCGUAACGCGUACACAACGUACCUCUAACAGGGGGAUAGUAUCGGGAAACUGGUAGUAAUACCCCAUGUGAUUGUUUUUUGGCAUCAGGAAACAAUUAAAGUACAAGCGGUUAGAGAUCGGUGUGCGUUUGAUUAGCUAGUUGGCGGGGUAACGGCCCACCAAGGCUACGAUCAAUAGGGGGUGUGAGAGCAUGACCCCCCACACGGGUACUGAGACACGGACCCGACUCCUACGGGAGGCAGCAGUAAGGAAUAUUGGACAAUGGGCGCAAGCCUGAUCCAGCCAUGCCGCGUGCAGGAAGAAGCAUCUAUGGUGUGGAAACUGCUUUUGUACGGGAAGAAACACUCCUUCGUGAAGGAGCUUGACGGUACCGUAAGAAUAAGGAUCGGCUAACUCCGUGCCAGCAGCCGCCGUAAUAC
rnacentral:rRNA from 1 species